CUCUCCUUGGUGUAGUUGGUUUAUCACGUUCGACUGUAAAUCGAAAGGUCUCUAGUUCGAUUCUGGAAGGAGAGA
rnacentral:tRNA from 2 species